GAGAUAGCCCUAUGGAGCAGGACUUGCUUCAGUGGGGCUUUGGUACUCACUGAGUCUUUCCCUUGAGUGUGUUGCU
rfam:Myotis lucifugus cont2.7339, whole genome shotgun sequence.